rnacentral:piRNA from 1 species
UCAAAGGACAUCCACAUCUGUUG